GGCCGAGAAGUUUGAACUUGUUGAGACUGCACGGGUUCUGGUUGGAUCACUGGUACAGAGGAGAAACAGUGAGGAUGAAAGUUUGGUGGAAACGGGUUAAUUUUGGAGUGUGAAGACAGAGAGCUG